rnacentral:lncRNA from 1 species
AUCUCAAGGUUUCGCGCAGGGCAAGGGGGAAACGGCUUCGGAUCUGCGGUCUGAUUUCGGAAAGCCCACCCCCGGGCCUUUCCGAGAGGCUGUAUUCUGGAGACCCCCCACAAACACCGCUGGUUGUCUUUGAAUUCCCCGAAGGCCCUGGACAUGGCGUUGGGGGACUGCCAGGUCCUCCAUUCCGCGCCCGGACACAAUGGCCGCCGGCACCCCGCACAAAGACGGGGUGAGAGGGGGGCGCUGCGCCCCGCCACCGGCCAGGAAGAAGGGUCGAGGCCCCCACAGCGGAGACCUCGUUUUCCCGGGGCCCGGCCCGAGGCGGCCUCCUGGAGCCCCCUGCAGGGCUCGAGGGCCGGAGGCUGCGACGCGUCCAAGCCCGGGGUGGGUGGGCUGAGGCCUCGCUUACGGCUCGCGCUCCCCUAGGCCGGGUACACGCCGAGCCACCGCCCCGUUGCUAGGCAACUGCCCUCCCUCAGGGGCGCCCCCUAGACCUCUCUGGAAGGAGGGGUCUCGCCCCCGCGGCCCGCCCCAGCGCAGCCAAUCCGCGGGCCGGAUCGGCACGGAAGCGGGACGGCAAAGGCUCCCAUUGGGCGCAGCGCCUGUCAAGCACAGGAGGCGGCGCUCUCACCUGCGAGCCCAACGAGCCGUGGGGGGCCACAUCCCCCCUUCAUCGGCCCGGUGGCUUCCAGACGCGAGGGCGCUUUGCGGCCGAGUUGUACGCCGCGGACUUGGGCCGGCCUACCUGGCUGACUGCUCGCACCGUGUCUCCCGGAGAAGCCGGCCUCAGUUUCCCCUGAAGAGACCGGGGGAACUUGCAAGCGCAGUCACUUCCGGUGCCGCGGCAGCGCGCGCGAGCCCGAGACGCAGGAAGAGGGAUCGGAGGAGCCGCAGACGCGUAGAACGCUUAACGGCUCGCGUUUAUUUAGUUCCCCCAUCCAUCCGUUUUCCAUACAGAAAAAGCACUUUUUCCGUGGAUGACCAACAACGGGCAGGUGUCUCAACUUAA